rnacentral:rRNA from 1 species
UCUGAUAGCUCAACUAUUAGGCUUUCGGGGGAUACUGCCAGACUUGGAACCGGGAGAGGUAAGAGGUACUACAGGGGUAGGAGUGAAAUCUUGUAAUCCCUGUGGGACCACCUGUGGCGAAGGCGUCUUACCAGAACGGGUUCGACAGUGAGGGACAAAAGCUGGGGGCACGAACCGGAUUAGAUACCCGGGUAGUCCCAGCCGUAAACGAUG